rnacentral:tRNA from 1 species
GGAGUUGUGGCUCAGUGGUAGAGCACUUGCCUGGCAUGUGUGAGGCCCUGGGUUUAAUCCGCAGCACCG